UGGGGAUCUGCCCGAUAGAGGGGGAUAACUACUGGAAACGGUGGCUAAUACCGCAUAAUGUCUACGGACCAAAGCAGGGGCUCUUCGGACCUUGCACUAUCGGAUGAACCCAUAUGGGAUUAGCUAGUAGGUGGGGUAAAGGCUCACCUAGGCGACGAUCUCUAGCUGGUCUGAGAGGAUGAUCAGCCACACUGGGACUGAGACACGGCCCAGACUCCUACGGGAGGCAGCAGUGGGGAAUAUUGCACAAUGGGCGCAAGCCUGAUGCAGCCAUGCCGCGUGUAUGAAGAAGGCCUUAGGGUUGUAAAGUACUUUCAGCGGGGAGGAA
rnacentral:rRNA from 1 species